rnacentral:rRNA from 1 species
UACGAAGGGGGCAAGCGUUGCUCGGAAUGACUGGGCGUAAAGGGUGCGUAGGCGGUCGGGUAAGUCUGAUGUGAAAUCUCACAGCUUAACUGUGAAACUGCAUUGGAUACUAUCCGGCUAGAGGAAUGGAGGGGAGACUGGAAUACUUGGUGUAGCAGUGAAAUGCGUAGAUAUCAAGUGGAACACCAGUGGCGAAGGCGAGUCUCUGGACAUUUCCUGACGCUGAGGCACGAAAGCCAGGGGAGCAAACGGG